GAGACAACAACUGUGAAACAUGAACCUGUUUACUGUAUGUGUCCUAAUAGCAAUAUCAGUUGCAGAUUCCAAUGGUCAGACACUGACUGAAUCUGAGUCAGUGGUUCUUAAACCUGGAAACUCUCACAAACUGACCUGCACAUACUCCGGGUUCAGCAGUGAUCCUUCCAUGGCUUGGAUCAGACAACCUCAUGGACAAGGGCUGGAAUGGUUGGCUCGAAUGCAUCCAACUUCCAGUAGUUAUACAUACUAUGCCCAGUCCAUUCAGGGAAGGUUCACCAUCUCCAGAGACAACAGCAAGAAGCAGAUUUACCUGCAGAUGAACGGCCUGAAAACUGAAGACUCAGCAGUGUACUACUGUGCUCUAGAGCCACAGUGAGAUAUACAGCUGAAGUGCAGUACAAAAACACGUCAUAUAUUUACAGAUCAGCUGAUAUGAGUAGUUCAGAUAGGACCUAUCCCUUCUGUAACAUGUUAUCACAUAAAAGCCAU